UACGGAGGGUGCAAGCGUUAUCCGGAUUUACUGGGUUUAAAGGGUGUGUAGGCGGACUUUUAAGUCAGCGGUGAAAUCUCCGGGCUCAACCCGGAAACUGCCAUUGAUACUAUUGGUCUUGAAUGUUGUUUGAGGUGGGCGGAACGGGUCAUGGUAAGCGGUGAAAUGCAUAGAUAAUGACCCGGAACACCGAUUGCGAAAGCAGCCCACUAAGCAAUGAUUGACGCUGAGGCACGAAAGCGUGGGAUCAAACAGGAAUUAGAUCCCGAGUAAGAUACCGAACCAAGUUCCCAUGCUCAAGUAACUG
rnacentral:rRNA from 1 species